rnacentral:rRNA from 1 species
GUGCCAGCAGCCGCGGUAAUACCGGCAACCCGAGUGAUGGCCGAUCUUAUUGGGCCUAAAGCGUCCGUAGCUGGCUGCGCAAGUCCGUCGGGAAAUCCACUCGCCCAACGAGUGGGCGUCCGACGGAAACUGCACAGCUUGGGACCGGAAGGCUCGAAGGGUACGUUCGGGGUAGGAGUGAAAUCCCAUAAUCCCGCACGGACCACCGAUGGCGAAAGCACUUCGAGAAAACGGAUCCGACAGUGAGGGACGAAAGCCAGGGUCUCCAACCGGAUUAGAAACCCCAGUAGUCC